UACGGGGGGGGCAAGCGUUGUUCGGAAUUACUGGGCGUAAAGGGCUCGUAGGCGGCCAACUAAGUCAGACGUGAAAUCCCUCGGCUUAACCGGGGAACUGCGUCUGAUACUGGAUGGCUUGAGAUUGGGAGAGGGAUGCGGAAUUCCAGGUGUAGCGGUGAAAUGCGUAGAUAUCUGGAGGAACACCGAUGGCGAAGGCAGCCCCCUGGGUCAAGAUUGACGCUCAUGCACGAAAGCGUGGGAAGCAAACAGG
rnacentral:rRNA from 1 species